rnacentral:rRNA from 1 species
AGAAUCAACGCUGGCGGCGUGCCUAACACAUGCAAGUCGAACGAGAAAGUGGAGCAAUCCACGAGUAAAGUGGCGCACGGGUGAGUAACACGUGACUAACCUACCCUUGAGUGGGGAAUAACUGAGGGAACCUUAGCUAAUACCGCAUAACACCUACGGGUCAAAGGAGCAAUUCGCUUAAGGAGGGGGUCGCGGCAGAUUAGUUAGUUGGCGGGGUAAUGGCCCACCAAGACAGUGAUCUGUAUCCGGCCUGAGAGGGCGCACGGACACACUGGAACUGAAACACGGUCCAGACUCCUACGGGAGGCAGCAGUGGGGAAUUUUGCGCAAUGGGGGAAACCCUGACGCAGCAACGCCGCGUGGAGGAUGAAGACCCGUUGGGUCGUAAACUCCUUUCGAUCGGGACGAUUAUGGACGGUACCGGAAGAAGAAGCCCCGGCUAACUUCGCGCCAGCAGCCGC